rnacentral:rRNA from 1 species
UACCAGCACCCCGAGUGGUCGGGACGAUUAUUGGGCCUAAAGCAUCCGUAGCCGGUUCUACAAGUCUUCCGUUAAAUCCACCUGCUUAACAGAUGGGCUGCGGAGGAUACUAUAGAGCUAGGAGGCGGGAGAGGCAAGCGGUACUCAGUGGGUAGGGGUAAAAAUCCUUUGAUCCAUUGAAGACCACCAGUGGCGAAGGCGGCUUGCCAGAACGCGCUCGACGGUGAGGGAUGAAAGCUGGGGGGAGCAAACCGG